CGCUGGCGGCGUGCCUAAUACAUGCAAGUCGAACGGCUUUUCUAUGGAAGCUUGCUUCCACUGAGAAGAUAGUGGCGAACGGGUGAGUAACACGUGGGUAACCUGCCCAUAAGAGGGGGAUAACAUCCGGAAACGGGUGCUAAUACCGCAUAGUUUUCUUGAUUGCAUGAUUGAGAAAGGAAAGACGGCCUUUGUGCUGUCGCUUAUGGAUGGACCCGCGGCGUAUUAGUUAGUUGGUGAGGUAACGGCUCACCAAGACGAUGAUACGUAGCCGACCUGAGAGGGUGAUCGGCCACAUUGGGACUGAGACACGGCCCAAACUCCUACGGGAGGCAGCAGUAGGGAAUCUUCCGCAAUGGACGAAAGUCUGACGGAGCAACGCCGCGUGAGUGAAGAAAAGGGUUUUCGGAUCGUAAAACUCUGUUGUCAGAGAAGAACAAGUUGGAGAGUAACUGCUCCAGCCUUGACGGUAUCUGACCAGAAAGCCACGGCUAACUACGUGCCAGCAGCGGC
rnacentral:rRNA from 1 species